CAAUAACAACCCAAAGACAGCAAUGGGAAGGAGGGAGAAUGCUGGGGCUCGCAGUCUCCUGCCCGCCCCUGGACAGCCUCAGCGUGGCCAAGUAGAACUGAUCCUGCAUUUCUGAGAAAAAUGCCACCCAGACUUCCUCCUCUCGUGUCACAUAGCAACCCCUUCCCAGAUCCUUGCUGAGUGAAGUGACUAAACUCCAUCUCUCCCACCCAUCUGGUUGGAAGCCGAAAGCCAGAAGCCCCAUGUCCCCAGCAGCAGCAGGAAGAAGCCAAAGUCCCUCUCCACUCAGCUAGGAGACCUGUUGGAGAUUCGGAUUCGGAUACACUUGCCAAAGUGCAGGGAGGUUGGAACUGGGCAUCAGUGGGCGUGUGUUCUCACAUCCUCGUCUACAUCAGUGCUGUCUGCCGAUGCUUUUGUCGUACAGAUCACAUCAACUUAAAGGCAGUUAUCAAGAAGCCCCCCUUGGCAUACCCACCAACUGCCUGCCUUUCCUACCAUUAAUCAGUGUCUGCUAAUUGGAGAACAGUUGUUUAUCUACCAACACCCUACCCCCAAGGCAGUUAAAAUGAAU
rnacentral:lncRNA from 1 species